UACGUAGGCAGCGAGCGUUGUUCGGAGUUACUGGGCGUAAAGAGUGCGUAGGCGGUUUUCUAAGUUUGGUGUGAAAUCUCCCGGCUUAACUGGGAGGGUGCGCCGAAAACUGGAAGGCUUGAGUAUGGGAGAGGUAAGCGGAAUUCCGUGGUGUACGGUGAAAUGCGUAGAUAUCGAGGAGAACACGUGACGGUGACUAGACGCUACUGG
rnacentral:rRNA from 1 species